rnacentral:rRNA from 1 species
CACGUAGGGCGCGAGCGUUGUCCGAAAUUAUUGGGCGUAAAGAGCUCGUAGGCGGCCUGUUGCGUCCGCUGUGAAAGCCCGGGGCUUAACCCCGGGUCGGCAGUGGAUACGGGCAGGCUAGAGGUAGGUAGGGGAGAAUGGAAUUCCCGGUGUAGCGGUGAAAUGCGCAGAUAUCGGGAGGAACACCGGUGGCGAAGGCGGUUCUCUGGGCCUUACCUGACGCUGAGGAGCGAAAGCGUGGGGAGCGAACAGG